UUAAUUUUGAUUUAAUUUUUAUGUUAAAUAUAUGUAUUGAUUAAUAAAGCAUUUAGAUAAGUCAGUGAUUGUAUCUCAUUUUUCUUUCGCUGCUUGUGCGUAUAUAUAAACAUUUAUUUAGUUAUUAGUUUAUUAUUAAGUAUCUUUCUAUUUUCUUAUACACAGACAGUAUAAAAGAGUUCAGGAGAGAGUCGGAACAGAGAAAAACGAAAAAAAAGGAUAGUCACUCGCGAAGAGGAAGAUGCAAGUCAAACGAAUUGAGAGAAGAUAUAUGUAUGUGAUCCCUUGUUAUCAAAUAAGAGAAAAGAGAGGUAACGGCGCACAUGCAGUGCUGUUGGGACAUUUUUUCGCGAAAGGAGACUUUCUGCAUAUACAUAGAGUGACGUAGCAGUUAUGCCUGUUAUGGAAUAUCGUAUAUCUAAUACGAGACAUCUUUCUCUUUCUAAUUUUCUCACACAAUAACUUUCUCACGCAAAUCAGCAGUCUAUAUAUAAGUCUAUGUCCUGAACCUAUUGGAUAGUGCGAUCUGUGCAUUCGUGAAGUAUUGUAGAGCGAAAUUGUAGAGCGUAAUUGUAGAGCGAAAACAUAAACUUCUACUUCUGCAAAAUACUGAUAAAUCAGUAAUGGAUAGAUACAACGCAAUAAUUCUGACAUUAUUAGAUGACGAUAUUUUCUUUAUGUAGUCUUAAAAAAAUAUUGGGUCUGUAAAAUAUAUUGUAUAAUGGUUGGUUUCCAACAAGAGACACAAGUCGACACAAGUAUCAUUCUAUCUUUGUUACUCACUAAAUGUGGAACAAAGAUAGAAUGAUGUUUGUGUCGACUUGUGUCUCUUGUUGGAAAGCAAGCAAUUUAUUAAUAAGGUUAAUGAAGUAAAUAGUUGAAACCGUGAAGUUACAUAUUAUAUGUUAUUAAAUUAAUACUAACCACUUUUCAAUAAUCCGUGUAUUUCUCUAGUAUUCGUUAACUAGUAUUCAUUAGAAAGCAUUAUUGUACAUAUACUAUAUUUCUUCAUACAUUUUAUCACUCAUCAGGGGCUUGAUUCUUGACGGUAUGCGAAUGAAAAGUGAAAAUGCAAAAAGUGAGCGAAUUUAUUAGAAUAUUUAUAAUUUUAUUAGUCAACGUCGUAAAAUUACGCAAUAAAAUGGGACGAUUUGAUUAAUUUAAAUCGUGACACGACGGACGACACGACGCUUGACACGCUAAAACCGGGUACAGACUUGUUGCGUAUCUGGGAUAUUCGUAUAACAAACUGGGAAACUCACGAUGAUACGUAUGGAUAUUACAUAUACGCCAUGAUGACAUGGGAAGCAAAUUUGGUCGCGUUACACCGUAUCGUAUUAACGUUUGUAACGUUACGAUGAUACGUUACGAGGAUACGCAACAAGUCUGUACCUGGCUUAAGGCUGCGUUCCGAAAUUCAUUGCCAGUGCUGAAAUUCUGUAGUAUACCUAACAUGAACUAUAAAUUUUCAAUACUGGCAGUGAACUUCAGAACGCAGUUUAGGAUGCGUUCAGAUUCUUCAUCCGGGCAUUUUAUUACUAGAACUCUCUAGUAUAUGUUACAUAUAUUACAGCACUUCUAGUAAUAAAAUACACCCGGGUGUGGGAACUCAGACUGUCGAUUGGCUCUCCUAAAGCCUCCAAUUUCUAUUGAGCAACCAGUUAGAAUCUCCGAUGUAGCAUAUAUGAACUUUAGAAUCUUCUGAUCGCUGCUUAUUCUGCAUUCAGUUCAGUGUGUUGCGUUCAGCUUAUAACAUCCGUUAGUAUCAAGAGAUGUAAUGUCUCGUGCCAAGUUUAAGGGGCGAAACGAAACGGCGUAAGACCGGCCGCGUACUUACGCCGUUCAGCUACCUACUUGUUCAGCACAAGCAAGAUUUCUUGUUCGGCUUCAAACUAUACCAUGUGCCGGUUUCUCCAGGUGCCUGAGCGUUGCGAGGGACAGGGUCAACUUUACCACGUAGUCCAAUGUACCAAAUGGAAUAUUAUCACGUAUAGCAAAAAAGUAUAUUAUUUAUUAGAUCUGUAAAGUUAUCAGUGAGUAAUAAAAUAUUUCAAUAAAUUUUUAAAUAUAAAAUUUUAGCGUCUAUUUGUCAAAAUAGCUUUAUGUAAUUUAACUUAAUCUAAGAUAAGAAAUAAAAUCACAGUACUUAUAAAAAAUACUGGCUUACAAAAUUUAGUAAUAAUUCUCGAAAAUAAACAGCCAGAUAUUAAUUUAUCACUGCAAUUGAAACAAUUAAAACUUUUCACAUAUGCUAUUGUCUCGUUUGAGAUGCAGUCUACGUCUUCCCAUUGUUAUAAAGUCGUCUUAACAAAUAAUUUAUAAACCAUCUUAGUAGCUAACAAAAAUUUAACAACUUAUCGCAAUAUUUUAUUAGAAAUCUAAAUAAUAUUCUUUUUUCGCGAUGAUGUUCAAUUUAACCAUGUGGUGUAGUCGGCACUAUCUUUCGUGGCACUUAGAUUCCUAGAGACCGCAUUCGGAUACUGGUAAUUCAGCAUCCUAUGAUCUUAAAUAUAAAAUUCAAAUAUCUAUGAAUAUAUACCCUAAAAGUUAUCGAUUUGAGACGGGAUUUAAAAUAAAAAUGUUUAAUAAUCCACCUACUUAUUUAAUAACCUACCGUCGGUAAGUUUUAUAUCAAAUUGGCAUUGAUAAUAACUGUAUAAAUGUAGUUUUACAAUUAUAAAUUUUUGUACACAAUGAUAAAACAUUAUGAUAACUAUAAAUUAUAAGAUUAACAUUUUAUUAUGCACUGAGUGUCCAGGUACUCACAUCGGAUAACUAAAACUUGUCGAUAAUGUCAUCCUUCUGCAAUUUAUCUCCGGACCCUUCGGGGUCCGUUGUUCGGGUUUCGUGCGACGAAAAUUUGCUUAUAGUCGGUGAUUUAGGCACUACCUCGUUGGUUCUACUUAAAAAAGGUAGAUGGCUAUAGUUUAAAUUCAAAAUGGCGAUAUUCCAAUAUGGCUAAUAUGAAGCUACACAUUAGUGUCAUUUUCUUUAUUUUCACUUAUAAUGAUUUAUUAUUCACUUAUAAUGAAAAAAUCUAUGGAAAGAAUAACUGGAAACGAUAAGGUAUAUUUAUAUAUUUAUUGUAACAUAUACCAUUUAUGCCGUAAUAUAUUUUAUGAACACGAUGUUUUACAACAGUACAAUUUCUUUAUUUUUUUUAUAAUAAAUAUAUCUUCAAAGAGAAGUUUAUUGCAACAUUCGCUAAUACAGUAAUAUCAGUGCUUGUCUUUUAGUCAUUCUAAAAUCGCAAAACAAUCAUUCUUAUUUAAUAUGGAGUUCUUGAAUAUAAAGUAGACACAAUCUCCACGUGGUUUGCCACCACGUGGGCGCUGCCAGUAGCACUAGAAUUCGGAUCGUAUUGUGAAAAAGUGGAAAAACAGCAAAAUUAAAGAACAACACAAUGGAGGAUACAGGAAUGCAGUGUCGGAUGUGUAUGUGCGUGGUUUGUGUGAAAUUACGGAUAAAUACGGUAAAAGUGUCAUCAACAUAUGAAGAAUGUAAUGCAGGAGAUGCGUGCAGGAGAGUGAAGUACAUUGAAGUGAUAUUGAAAGUGACAAUUUUUGUGUGUGAUUUUUGGGAAUAUUUUUUAUUAAUGUGUGUGAUUUCUUCGACUUCAACUCUUUUGCACCAUAUCACAUUUUUCACUACUUGGGGCUAUCCGGCUACAUGAGUCUACAUGAGUCGGAUGAGGAUUCAACAUAUUCAUUAUCAAGACCCAGGGAUCGCGGAUAGGUGGAAGCUCCAGUGGAUUGAUAAGCAUCGUUGUCAACCUGUUCCAGGUUCUCUCUCUUCAUAAGAGAAGCAACGGAAUUUUCCUAAUUGCCCUUGAGGAAUUCCGGACGUGCAGCAGAGAAACGCGUCAUGUACGAAGGAAUCGGCCUCGCAUCGGCGAAAGGACGCACCUGCACGCGGUUGUUCGCAGCUGGUCGCUUGGCCGAUUUCGCGACGAUCAGAUUCGAUUCCUGCACGGCUUUUCCAGCGAAGGGUAGAGAACAGAGUGGCGGGAAGAUAACCACUGUACACUCACGUAUGUAAAGUUGGUGAAUUCAAGUAAAAUCUGAGUUUGUGAUAGCUGCGGAUGAAAGACGGAGCGGAGUCGAGGAAUUGUGGACUGGAGGACCGGAGUGAAGGAUUUUACAGCUCGAUCGAGGAAUAGAGCCACACAAUUCACAAUGUUUUUCGCGUGUUCGCCAACUGUUAUUGGCCGAAAAAGGAUCAUGUGCGAGGCUCCAUUUAUCGUCACGCGGUGCUAUGAGGGCGGCCUGUAAAAAUAAAGCAGACAGAGGGGCUCUGGCGGGUGGCUGCAGGAGAAAGAAAACUGAAAGAAAGAGAGAGCGAAGGGAGGGAGAGGGAGUAUACACUAACAAGUGGUCAGUUUACAAUGUGUACGUCGGCAAUUUAAACUUUUGCGACUUGGUCAGUGGCAGUCGAACGACGCGGCGCUGUGCUGCCGCGGCAAAAACAUCCGUAGGAUGGGCGCCGUUCUGCCAGGUGUUGCCUCUUUGUUUGCAUAAAGAGGGUAUUGGCAGCGGUAUCCUGUUUGGUGAGGUGUUCGUUUAAAUGGGAUUACGCCGGGACAUUGGUCGCGGUUUCUCGCGGAUGUUAUCUGAUGCCGCGAGAUAUCACGUCGUGAUACAAAUCGCGAGUAAUUGCGGACGUCGUUGCUCAGAAUCGCUCGAAGAAAUAAUGGACUCGCCGGUGCGACUUCUCCUCACGACCGAUUUCGUUUAAAUUUAAUGGUGAGACGGACGCUCACCGUUAAAAUUCCACGGUGGUCAUCGAAGUUUUCCAAUUUAUCCUUUGACCUUCCGCGGACUUUAGCAAUCAUUCGCGGCGCUCUUUGAAUACCUCGAGCUAAUACGUAACUCGCCGUUUCAUUAUUCAUUCGUUCUGCAUGCACUGUUGAAAGGUCAAUAAAUUAUUUCUGCAUGAUCUUGUAAACUGUCAAUGUUAAUGAGAUAUCGUACUGAUCGUACCUUGAAGUUAAACCACUUUGCAUGGCAAGAAAAUACUGUCGUGUCAACAGUAUUGCUGCACUCAUAAUUGAGAGAAAUCUUUUUGGCAAUAUUAUUAAACUAAUAUAUUAUAUAAAUUAUAUAAUAUAUUAUAUACUAAUAUAUUAUAUAAUAUACUAAUUAU